CGCUCGCUGCAGCGCGCGGCGGGAGGAGUGAAGAUGGCGGGAGGGUGCGGCCAAGAGGCUGCUGGGAUUGUGGCGGACCCAGCGGCAAAAUGGCGGCCGUGCGGCCAGGUGAGGCUCCUUCAAGGUGCUCUCGUCAGUUCCUCUUCAGAUGCUGUUCCACCUCAGUGGGCUGUACUAUGCUCUGUACUUCCUAGCCACACUCCUGAUGAUUGUGUACAAAAGUCAGGUUUUCAGCUAUCCUUCUAACUGUCUGGUCCUGGAUCUGGUUCUCUUGCUUCUGAUGGGAAUUUUCGAAGUAGCUCAGCUAUACCUAGGCACACAAGGCAACCUGACGGAGGCUGAAGUGCCACUGGCAGCCAGCCUGGCAUUCACAGCAGUCAGUGGCCUCCUUUCUGUUCACUUCCUACUCUGGCAGACCUUGGUCCUGUGGAUGGACUCAGUCCUCAGCACGGUUCUCCUGGUGCUGCAUGGGCUGGAGGCCGGCCUGCAAGUGGUGGUCAUUGCUGAUUUCAUCAGGUAGACAGACCGGGACAACCUGCACAGCAGUGCUCCUCAGCCUCCAGCCAGUUCCUUUGCCCAGAAAGGAGGGAAUCUUUUUUAUUGCUUAUCUUAGAUGGUUUAUACAUCUUUUUUAGUGAGGGGGGUACAAGACCUAGGGAAGGACAGACUUAGAAGCUUGAAGAUGGCCAUCAUGGACAAUAGUCUAGUGAAUCCCAGAGAUGUGUACCCAUGUCCUGUGCUGGGGUGCUGACUAUAGCAGGACCACCAGUGAUCCCCAGGCUAGUGAAAGGCAAA
rnacentral:lncRNA from 1 species